rnacentral:tRNA from 4 species
GUAGACGCUACGGACUUAAAAUCCGUCGACUUUAGAAAUCGUGAGGGUUCAAGUCCCUCUAUCCCCA